UCCGCAACCUCAGUCUCUUUCGCCUGAUGCAUAGCCUUCAAGACAAGAUUAUACGACGCCGUAUUAGGGGCCACGGAGAAAUCAUCCAUCAUCGCAACGAGAUCGAGCAUGUCACUAGGUGCAGCGCCCAUCAUCAAAUUAGCCCUAAGGUAAUGGUUGUAAAGGUUGACAUCCGGCUUGUUCGGCUUCCCGUUCUUGUCGAGCGACCGGACCCAGAACUCGAAUAGCUGCUUCAUGUCGGACCAGCGCUGCGACGCGGUCCAGUCGGCGAACAUGUUGAGCAGCGAGAUCAUGUCGAGGGUCUCGGAGAGGGCUCUGAUGCGGGCGGCGGGGGCUUGGUUUAGGAAUCCCAUGGGGACUAGUGAUUGGCUGAAGGAGGGCGAGUUCGGGAUCGGGCUCCGCCAGUUCUCCUGGUAGAGAGGGCUUCCUGUUGCUGGAUUUGGAGGGAGCGUGGUGGAUUCGUGAUCGGUUGCGAGCUGGGGAUCUUGAUAGAGGGACGGCGUACCGGAAAUGGUUCUGAUGUGGUGAUUGGGUUUGAGGGUUCGGAGGAGAGAGAUCCGAGACCGGAGGAAGAGAUGAGAAGACAUUGUCGGAAGGGGAUCUAGUUUGGAGUUGGAGUUUGGUCAAAAGGGGUUUAUCUUGUUUUAGGGUUUUCAGAGUUUCAGAUUGAGUUCGGUCGUGACGAUCUCUUCCCCCCCGUGGGCAGUGGUAUUUUCAGAAAUUAUUCGACAACUGAUGUCAUUUUCAGGAGUCUUAGAAACGGGUUUAGACCCAGCCCGGCCCAUUAUGGUAUGGCUAAAUUAGUUUUAUACUGAAGCUCCAAUAAUAUUUUAAUUGCUGCAUGCGAUCUAAAUUAUAAAUAUUAAAAUAUUUUGAGCUAAACUACAUGCUUUUAUAGGUAUUUAAAAUUAUAUGUGUAUGUACUGAUCACUAAUUUAAUAACCAUUAUAAGUUUUCAAUUCACCCAAAACAAUUAUCCAUUAAAAAAUAUGAUUUUUAUACUUUCAAUGUGAAUGAUCAAUUGUAAAUGAGUAAUUUUCUUAAUAGUUGUGAUGGAAUAUAGAAAAAUAUUAUACAAUAUUUAUAUUAAAAUAAUUAAUGCAACAUUUAUAAGAAAAUAAUAUCACAAAAAUUUCAUAUUUGUUUUUGAAUUUUUUUUAGAAAAUGCCAAUAUAUUAGUAUGAUUAAUAAAACAACCACUUACCAUCUAUCCAUUGAUUACAAAAUAGCUAUAAUAGGUUAUAUAUAAUAAUUUUAUAACAUUUUUUUUAAAACUAAACAUGAUUAGUUAGAUUUAAUAAUUUCAAAUUCAUAUAUAUGAUUGUUUGAACUAUAAAAUUUUUAAUCACUAGUAAUUUGUUUUUCAGUUAUACUAUUGUUUGCUCUAUAAAACUUUAAAUCAUCAAUUUUUGUAUUAAGUGUAACUUUUGUGCAUAGUACAUUACGAAGUAGAAGUUAUAUGCUAGUUUUUUUUUAUUUGUUUGGUGAAUUUAUUAUCCUAAAUUAUACUUAAAUGAGAUUUUCAAUGAUAAACAUAAUUUAGUGGACGUCUUCUGAAGCUUCCACCAUAUCGGAAAUAUAUUUGAUGCACACAUCAAAAAUGAAACUCCUCCAUGAAAAAUGUUUCACAUAAUUUUAAACUAUCCACAAUCCUAAGUAUAAAAUGAUAUGUGCAUCUAAAAUUGUGGAUAUGAAGACAAGGAUAUUUGAUGCUUUUAAUGAUUUUAGAUCAUUUUAUUUACUUUUAUCUUUAAUACUUUCCGAGAAAACGCAAUUAAAAAGUUAAUUGAGGAAACACAAUUGUUAGGUUAAUUGAGAAAAGGUAAAUUGAUGAAUAAUCAGAAAAUGAAAAACAUUUUUACCUAAAUUCUUAUCUUCCUACUAUACAACGAGUUACAUCAACGAGUUUCAAACAAGUUGAUGAAACUCUAGCCUGACAAAGAAGAUUUUCUAUUGGUGUACUUACGUAUAACGUCUUGGAGGUAGAUUCGGGUCAUAGGAACAAAUCUUUGAUCAUGUCUCUUCAAAGCAUUCUCUAUGCUUUCUCUGGAAUAUUUGAGAGGAUAACCAGCAAUGGCAUUCUCUUUAUCCCUAAGAGCAAUGACAUCAAUAACAAAGAAAAUAACAAAAUGAAAAUUUAAAUGUAAGAAAUAACAUUUCUAAAUUGCCUUAAAAUAACAAAAGCAUUGCAAGUUGUUCUGAUAAAAUGAAAAUUUGAAAGUAAGAUUUAAAGAGGUUUACCAAAAGGAAGAUAUUAACUGUUUAAUAUAGUUCUUAUGUUCAAUUAAACUAUUUGUUGCAUGUAUGAUUUUGUUUAUGGAAAAAUUGUUAAAUUACUAAUUAAAUUUAAAUUCUCAUCGGCAAAAGGGAAACAUCUCGUUGUCUGAUCCUAUUUCAUUUAAUUUCGAGAGACACCACACUUAAUUUCAAAUGGUGCUUUGACUUGGCUUAUAAAACAUCACUAAUGCUCAGCCAUUACAACUUAGCACAAUUCAAUAAUGGACUACAACGGGCAUAAUAUUGAUUUGAGAGAGAGAGAGAGAGAGAGAAAGAAACCUUGGAGAGAGAAGAAGCGGAGGAUGGUAAGGCUUUACAGGGAGAGUGUACAGACAUAUCGUCCUGCUCUUCCUCUUUCUCUUUCUCUUUCUCUUUAUCUCCACCAACUUCGUCAUUUCUUCCACCCAUCUUUGUGUUCCCUUCCCUCUCUUCAAUCAGUUUAGGGUUUCGUGUCGUGUCGUGUCUUUGAUCCCAGAAGAAAUGAGAUGAAAUGUUCUCUGAAUCUGUGAGACAGAAGCCUCUCAAGAAUCCACCUGGACUCCGAAUUGGGCCGACCAAUUCUCAAGGCCCUGUCUCCGGUUUAGCACACCAGUAUACAAUUACAUUAUUCAAGAGUUACAAGAUCAAAAAGCGCAGGAGUGAAUUACUGUAUUGUGGAUAACUUUAGUAAUUAAAAAAAAAAACAUAACAUCAUGUGCAUGAGACUAUUUGAACACCAAAAAACAAAGGCUUUUAUGAAGAUAAAAAAAGAUACGAAUCUUCCAAAAAGUUUUGCCAUUUAUUGGUCAAUGCUGCAUGAAAACAUCUGCAAGAGAGACUAGUGAACCACUGAUCCUAAAACAACGAGCUAUGUAAUGGAAAAACAAAUCAGAUUUGAGGACUCGAAACGAUUAUAAAUGAAGCAACUGACAGCAAUGAAACACGGAGCAACGGUCCAUAGCUUCAAAGAUUCGAUGAGCCUGAGAUUCUCAUACCUCCCUCCUUCCUCAACAAGAGCUUCUGCAACAACCAAACACAUUUGAUGAGAUGGUCACAAUUUGAUGAUUCCUCUGUAACAAUAAAAACUGAGGAUUCAUUAUUACAUUUAGCCCUUCAUUAUGCGCGAACCCUGGAGUAAUCCAUGUUGAACAGCAUGUUCCUCCGGUUCUCUGAUCCCAUCCUUAUUUGAAACUUCUUGGCCAAAGACUCCACCUUAUCAUCGUUUUCGUUGUCUAGCUCCCUGAUACAUCGCCUUCUCAGCUUCUUCAGUGUCUCCUUGGAAGGUUCAAAUCCAGCUUUGAUCUGUUAUUUCCGAAAAGCAUGUUUUAGUUUCUCAUAGCCAUGUUAAACAACACACAUCCUUCUCUCAUAGCGGUUCUGGUUUUACCAUGUCAUCGAUGACCGUCAGAGCUGAUUCGGGAUCCCGGUUAAUGAGAUGAGCAUCAACCAGCAAUGAAAACGUCCGGGCAUCAGGCUUAACACCUUCCCCAACUAGAUGACUGUAUACUCUUGUAGCCUCAGGAGUCUGCAAAAGCAAACAAGCUCAGAGUCUUUAAGCCUCGUCGGAAAUAAGAAAAAAUUAAAGAGAAAGAGAGUGAUAUGACAUGGAGACAUCACCUACCUUCUUGACCUUUCCAAAUGCAUAUAUUAAAGCAUUGUACGAAUCAAUAUUAGGAGUCAGCCCAAAAGAAGCACUUAUUGCAUCAAACGUCUGGUAAGCACGAUCCAGAUCCCAUGUGUUUGCGCAGCCAAGAACUAUACAGUUUAGAGCAGCAACGGACUUGUACGGAGUAUCACCUUUACUCAAUGUCUCCAGCUGGAAGUAUACCUCAUCCAAUGUCUCAAAACCUUUCUUAGAACAGGCCACAACCAGCGGGUACAACGAUGUAAAAGGAGAAAGCAUUUCCUCCUUAACUUCCUUUUCAGCGUCCUUGUAUGCGUUUUCAAACUCAUUAAGUGCGACGAAAGCUUUCUGCAGGUUCCCCAACGAUGCGUAAGCAUUUAUCUUCGCAACAUAAGCCGCAGGGUUGGCUGCCUUCUUCCCACGCAGGCUCCGUUUCAGAAUCAUCCACGAUCCAUCUAUUAAAGUCGGAUUGCACGUCCUAGCAGCGGUUGCGAGAGCUGACACCACCAAACCUUCAUCAACAGAGAGUAAAACCGAGGGCCUAGCCAUUUCUCCUCUGUUGAUCCAAUUGUACAUGAACUCAAACGCGUAGAAUGCUAAUUUGCUAUUGUCCUCUUGAGUUGCUACUUCAGCCAUGUAUGUACAGAGUAUCCAGCUAGGGCAUAGGGACUUGUUCCGAUCAAGAGACUGUAAAACAAAACAAAAUGAGGCAAAAUGCUUUUUAAAUAUCAUCAAACUAAGACGUACCUUACACCUCUCGAUGAUGGAGACCAGUGUAUCUGUCCUACCUUUGGCUACACAGCUACGCACACAUUCGCUAAAAACAGUGGUGGACAACAUGUAACCAGAUUUUAGUGCGAUGUCCAGAAGCUGCAUGGCUUUGUCAUUCUCCCCAUUAGAAUACAGCAUUCCAAUAACCAAAUCAUAUGAUUCAUCAUCCGGACGAGAUUCAUCCUUCCCUGAUAUCAGCAUCCUGAUGGUACAUAAAAAAAAAAAACAAUAUAUUUCAAGAAAUGGCUAGGCGGUUACUAAACGAUUUAAAUUUAUAUAAGCCUAGCUUCUAAACGGAUUAUUCAUGGCAUAGGCAGGAACUAAACAUUAAUGAAUUACUUUUUAUUUAUUUUAUACUAGAUUUUUUUUUUAUAACUUUUUAGGUUUAAUUAUAUAACUAAUUUGAUGAGUUGUAAAAGUUAGGUAUAUAAAAAAAACGAAAUUUGACAAAGCGUGUACACUAACACUGUUACUUGAUUUAACUGAUUUACACCAAUUUAGAUAGAAACUCUUAAAUUGGAUUCAAAGAAAAUCUUCUCGAAUUAUUAUGUAAAUUUCAUAGAUUUUGCACUCGUAAGAGUCUUUUACUAAUUGAACAGUGAUUAAGCAGCAAUGUAUGUAAUUAUUGUGUAGAGCAAAAACAAAAAAGGAUUAAGUUGGAUAUAACCUGUUAAGCAGCUUCUCCGCAACCUCAGUCUCUUUCGCCUGAUGCAUAGCCUUCAAGACAAGAUUAUACGACGCCGUAUUAGGGGCCACGGAGAAAUCAUCCAUCAUCGCAACGAGAUCGAGCAUGUCACUAGGUGCAGCGCCCAUCAUCAAAUUAGCCCUAAGGUAAUGGUUGUAAAGGUUGACAUCCGGCUUGUUCGGCUUCCCGUUCUUGUCGAGCGACCGGACCCAGAACUCGAAUAGCUGCUUCAUGUCGGACCAGCGCUGCGACGCGGUCCAGUCGGCGAACAUGUUGAGCAGCGAGAUCAUGUCGAGGGUCUCGGAGAGGGCUCUGAUGCGGGCGGCGGGGGCUUGGUUUAGGAAUCCCAUGGGGACUAGU
rnacentral:lncRNA from 1 species